AUGAGCAGGAGAGAAGGAGGAUCAGAGAGGAGCUGCAGGGGUCCACAUUCUUGCAACUCAGGCUGUCUUCUGGUCUUCGAAAGGUCCUUUUUGGCACGGCUCUUGGUACGGUCGCCCUAGCCCUGGCUGCACACCAGCUAAAACGGCACAAGCACAAGAAGAAGCAGAUUACAGCAGGCAAUGGAGGCCUAAAGCUCGGCGGGGUGCCUGGCUCUGUUUUGCCCGUUAGGCGUUCUUCCUCAGCUAAAAAAGCUUUUUGAUGGAUGUAUAUACAGCCUUCAUGCCAUGAUGG